CCUCGGAUAAGAAGCCAGCCUGAGGUGAUCCCGUCUCCCCAUCACCAGCCUGAGGUGAUCCUGUCUCCCCAUCACCAGCCUGAGGUGAUCCCGUCUCCUCACCCCCAGCCUGAGGUGAUCCUGUC